rnacentral:rRNA from 1 species
AGCAGCCGCGGUAAUUCCAGCUCCAAUAGCGUAUAUUAAAGUUGUUGCAGUUAAAAAGCUCGUAGUUGAAUUUCGGGAUUUAUCCGUCGGUCGGGCUUUUGGGUCUGUACUGGCGUGAUGGAUUUCUACCUUCUGAAUAUCCGGCAUGUCAUUAAUUUGGUGCGCCGGGGAAGCAGGACUGUUACCUUGAAAAAUUGAGUGCUUAAAGCAGGCUAUUGCCUGAAUACAUUAGCAUGGAAUAAUGAAGUAGGACGGCAUGGUUCUAUUUUGUUGGUUUCUAGGACCACCGUAAUGAUUAAUAGGGAUAGUUGGGGGCAUUAGUAUUCAAUUGUCAGAGGUGAAAUUCUUGGAUUUUAUUGAAGACUAACUACUGCGAAAGCAUUUGCCAAGGAUGUUUUCAUUAAUCGAGAACGAAAGUUAGGGGAUCGAAGACGAUCAGAUACCGUCGUAGUCUUAACCAUAAACUAUGCCGACUAGGAAUCAGACGAUAGUUAAUUUUAAUGUACUGUUGGCUACCUUA